rnacentral:rRNA from 1 species
CUACGGGGUGCAGCAGUAAGGGAUAUUGCGCAAUGGGGGAAACCCUGACGCAGCCAUGCCGCGUGAGUGAAGAAGGCCUUCGGGUUGUAAAACUCUUUCAGAUGUGAAGAUGAUGACGGUAACAUCAGAAGAAGCUCCGGCUAACUUCGUGCCAGCAGCCGCGGUAAUACGAAGGGGGCGAGCGUUGUUCGGAAUCACUGGGCUUAAAGCGUGCGUAGGCGGCCACCCAAGUCAGGUGUGAAAUCCCGGGGCUCAACCCCGGAACUGCACUUGAAACUGGAUGGCUGGGGUCCCGGAGAGGUUAGGAGAAUUCCGAGUGUAGAGGUGAAAUUCGCAGAUAUUCGGAGGAAUACCAGUGGCGUAGGCGCCUAACUGGACGGGUACUGACGCUGAGGCACGAAAGCGUGGGGAGCAAACAGGAUUAGAUACCCUUGUAGUC